rnacentral:rRNA from 1 species
UCCUACGGGAGGCAGCAGUAGGGAAUCUUCGGCAAUGGGGGCAACCCUGACCGAGCAACGCCGCGUGAGUGAAGAAGGUUUUCGGAUCGUAAAGCUCUGUUGUAAGAGAAGAACGUGUGUGAGAGUGGAAAGUUCACACAGUGACGGUAACUUACCAGAAAGGGACGGCUAACUACGUGCCAGCAGCCGCGGUAAUACGUAGGUCCCGAGCGUUGUCCGGAUUUAUUGGGCGUAAAGCGAGCGCAGGCGGUUUAAUAAGUCUGAAGUUAAAGGCAGUGGCUUAACCAUUGUUCGCUUUGGAAACUGUUAGACUUGAGUGCAGAAGGGGAGAGUGGAAUUCCAUGUGUAGCGGUGAAAUGCGUAGAUAUAUGGAGGAACACCGGCGGCGAAAGCGGCUCUCUGGUCUGUAACUGACGCUGAGGCUCGAAAGCGUGGGGAGCAAACAGGAUUAGAUACCCUGGUAGUCC